rnacentral:rRNA from 1 species
CGGUGGGGGAUGGACUCGCGGCCUAUCAGUUUGUUGGUGAGGUGAUGGCUCACCAAGACGAUGACGGGUAGCCGGCCUGAGAGGGCGACCGGCCACACUGGGACUGAGACACGGCCCAGACUCCUACGGGAGGCAGCAGUGGGGAAUAUUGCACAAUGGGCGAAAGCCUGAUGCAGCGACGCCGCGUGGGGGAUGACGGCCUUCGGGUUGUAAACCCCUUUCAAUAAGGAAGAAGCGAGAGUGACGGUACCUGCAGAAGAAGCGCCGGCUAACUACGUGCCAGCAGCCGCGGUAAUACGUAGGGCGCAAGCGUUGUCCGGAAUUAUUGGGCGUAAAGAGCUUGUAGGUGGCUUGUCGCGUCUGCCGUGAAAACCCGAGGCUCAACCUCGGGCGUGCGGUGGGUACGGGCAGGCUAGAGUGUGGUAGGGGAGACUGGAACUCCUGGUGUAGCGGUGAAAUGCGCAGAUAUCAGGAAGAACACCGAUGGCGAAGGCAGGUCUCUGGGCCAUUACUGACACUGAGAAGCGAAAGCAUGGGUAGCGAACAGGAUUAGAUACCCUGGUAGUCCAUGCCGUAAACGUUGGGCACUAGGUGUGGGGGACAUUCCACGUUUUCCGCGCCGUAGCUAACGCAUUAAGUGCCCCGCCUGGGGAGUACGGCCGCAAGGCUANAACUCAAAGGAAUUGACGGGGGGCCCGCACAAGCGGCGGAGCAUGCUGAUUAAUUCGAUGCAACGCGAAAAACCUUACCAAGGCUUGACAUGCACUGGACGGCUGCAGAGAUGUGGCUUUCUUUGGACUGGUGCACAGGUGGUGCAUGGUUGUCGUCAGCUCGUGUCGUGAGAUGUUGGGUUUAAUUCCCGCAACAAGC